UACAGAGGUGCCAAGCGUUUAGGCGGAAUCACUGGGCUUAAAGCGCGUGUAGGCGGAUCGUUAAGUGUCUUGUGAAAUCCCACGGCUCACCCGUGGAACGGCUGGGCAUACUGGCGAUCUUGGGCCAACUAGGGGCAACUGGAACAAGCGGUGGAGCGGUGAAAUGCGUAGAUAUCGCUUGGAACGCCGAAGGUGAAAACAGGUUGCUGGGGUUGUGCCGACGCUGAGACACGAAAGCCAGGGGAGCAAACGGG
rnacentral:rRNA from 1 species